UGCCUGAGUGAUUGGCGUAACGAGAUGGGAGCUGUCUCAACCAGAGAUUCAGUGAAAUUGUAGUGGAGGUGAAAAUUCCUCCUACCCGCGGCAAGACGGAGAGACCCCGUGGACCUUUACUACAACUUAGCACUGCUAACGGGAAUAUCAUGCGCAGGAUAGGUGGGAGGCUUUGAAGUAAGGGCUUUGGCUCUUAUGGAG
rnacentral:rRNA from 1 species